UACGUAGGGUGCAAGCGUUGUCCGGAAUUAUUGGGCGUAAAGAGCUCGUAGGCGGUUUGUCGCGUCGAAUGUGAAAACCCGGGGCUCAACCCCGGGCCUGCAUUCGAUACGGGCAGACUAGAGUUCGGUAGGGGAGUCUGGAAUUCCUGGUGUAGCGGUGAAAUGCGCAGAUAUCAGGAGGAACACCGGUGGCGAAGGCGGGACUCUGGGCCGGAACUGACGCUGAGGAGCGAAAGCGUGGGGAGCGAACAGG
rnacentral:rRNA from 1 species